GUCAACGAAAGCGAAUGUGAGAAUAUAAAUAAAUGAUGCUUUUAUGCACCGAUAGUAGAGAAGGAGCUACGCUGAGAUGUGUGAUUUUUUAAAUAUUUUUAGACAGCGCCAAACGGCAGCAGACGAUUCAGGAGACGUCGGCAGUGACGCACUAGAAGCGCCCCACGUGUCAGGACAGUGAUCAGCAUCGCCAGGGGUCGCCAGCUACUGCUACACGUGCCUGAACUACGAUAAAGAAACAAUUUCAAGUAUCGAAAAGCGGAUAGAAC
rnacentral:lncRNA from 1 species